AGAAAUAUUAUUCAAAAAAGGAAGCAACUUUUAUACUUUCUCCUGUAAAUACUGUGACAGAGUGAAGUGCUUUUUCUUUCCGAUUUUUUUCUCCCUGUAAAUAAAUUUAUUUUGCUUU